UACAGAGGGCGCGAGCGUUGUCCGGAAUCACUGGGCGUAAAGGGCGCGUAGGUGGCCACUAUAAGGCCGCGGUGAAAGUUCGGGGCUCAACCCUGAAUCGGCCGCGGCGACUGUAGGGCUUGGGCACUGUAGAGGCAGAUGGAAUUCCGGGUGUAGCGGUGGAAUGCGUAGAGAUCCGGAAGAACACCGGUGGCGAAGGCGGUCUGCUGGGCAGUGGCUCCGCAAGGGCCAACUUAGCC
rnacentral:rRNA from 1 species